rnacentral:pre_miRNA from 1 species
UGCAUACUCCCUCCAUCCCAAAAUUCUUGUCUUAAAUUUUUCUAGAUACAAAUGUAUCUAAUACUAAAACGUGACUUGAUACAUCCAUAUUUAGACAAAUCUAAGACAAGAAUUUUGGGACAGAGGGAGUAUUAU